rnacentral:rRNA from 1 species
GCAGUCGAACGGUAACAGGAAGCAGCUUGCUGCUUCGCUGACGAGUGGCGGACGGGUGAGUAAUGUCUGGGAAACUGCCUGAUGGAGGGGGAUAACUACUGGAAACGGUAGCUAAUACCGCAUAACGUCGCAAGACCAAAGAGGGGGACCUUCGGGCCUCUUGCCAUCGGAUGUGCCCAGAUGGGAUUAGCUAGUAGGUGGGGUAACGGCUCACCUAGGCGACGAUCCCUAGCUGGUCUGAGAGGAUGACCAGCCACACUGGAACUGAGACACGGUCCAGACUCCUACGGGAGGCAGCAGUGGGGAAUAUUGCACAAUGGGCGCAAGCCUGAUGCAGCCAUGCCGCGUGUAUGAAGAAGGCCUUCGGGUUGUAAAGUACUUUCAGCGGGGAGGAAGGGGUUGAGGUUAAUAACCUCUGCGAUUGACGUUACCCGCAGAAGAAGCACCGGCUAACUCCGUGCCAGCAGCCGCGGUAAUACGGAGGGUGCAAGCGUUAAUCGGAAUUACUGGGCGUAAAGCGCACGCAGGCGGUCUGUCAAGUCGGAUGUGAAAUCCCCGGGCUCAACCUGGGAACUGCAUUCGAAACUGGCAGGCUAGAGUCUUGUAGAGGGGGGUAGAAUUCCAGGUGUAGCGGUGAAAUGCGUAGAGAUCUGGAGGAAUACCGGUGGCGAAGGCGGCCCCCUGGACAAAGACUGACGCUCAGGUGCGAAAGCGUGCAGAGCAAACAGGAUUAGAUACCCUGGUAGUCCACGCCGUAAACGAUGUCGACUUGGAGGUCGUGCCCUUGAGGCGUGGCUUCCUGAGCUAACGCGUUAAGUCGAUCGGCCUGGGCGAGUACGACCGCUAAGAUUAAACUCAAAUGACUUGACUGGGGCC